UGGGGAAUAUUGCACAAUGGGCGCAAGCCUGAUGCAGCCAUGCCGCGUGUGUGAAGAAGGCCUUCGGGUUGUAAAGCACUUUCAGCGGGGAGGAAGGCGUUAAGGUUAAUAACCUUGGCGAUUGACGUUACCCGCAGAAGAAGCACCGGCUAACUCCGUGCCAGCAGCCGCGGUAAUACGGAGGGUGCAAGCGUUAAUCGGAAUUACUGGGCGUAAAGCGCACGCAGGCGGUCUGUCAAGUCGGAUGUGAAAUCCCCGGGCGCAACCUGGGAACUGCAUUCGAAACUGGCAGGCUAGAGUAUUGUAGAGGGGGGUAGAAUUCCAGGUGUAGCGGUGAAAUGCGUAGAGAGAUGGAGGAAUACCGGUGGCGAAGGCGGCCCCCUGGACAAAGACUGACGCUCAGGUGCGAAAGCGUGGGGAGCAAACAGG
rnacentral:rRNA from 1 species